rnacentral:rRNA from 1 species
UACGGAGGAUCCGAGCGUUAUCCGGAAUUACUGGGUUUAAAGGGUGCGCAGGCGGAAGAUUAAGUCGGCGGUGAAAUUUUGCAGCUCAACUGUAAAAGUGCCAUCGAUACUGGUUUUCUUGAGUGUGGAUGAAGUAGGCGGAAUUUGUGGUGUAGCGGUGAAAUGCAUAGAUAUCACGAGGAACUCCGAUUGCGCAGGCAGCUUACUAGGCCAUAACUGACGCUCAGGCACGAAGGCGUGGGGAUCAAACAGGAUUAGA